UGGAAGUAAAAGUNGUAACAAGGUUUCCGUAGGUGAACCUGCGGAAGGAUCAUUACCGAGUUUUCGAGCUCCGGCUCGACUCUCCCACCCUUUGUGAACGUACCUCUGUUGCUUUGGCGGCUCCGGCCGCCAAAGGACCUUCAAACUCCAGUCAGUAAACGCAGACGUCUGAUAAACAAGUUAAUAAACUAAAACUUUCAACAACGGAUCUCUUGGUUCUGGCAUCGAUGAAGAACGCAGCGAAAUGCGAUAAGUAAUGUGAAUUGCAGAAUUCAGUGAAUCAUCGAAUCUUUGAACGCACAUUGCGCCCCUUGGUAUUCCGGGGGGCAUGCCUGUUCGAGCGUCAUUACAACCCUCAAGCUCUGCUUGGAAUUGGGCACCGUCCUCACUGCGGACGCGCCUCAAAGACCUCGGCGGUGGCUGUUCAGCCCUCAAGCGUAGUAGAAUACACCUCGCUUUGGAGCGGUUGGCGUCGCCCGCCGGACGAACCUUCUGAACUUUUCUCAAGGUUGACCUCGGAUCAGGUAGGGAUACCCGCUGAACUUAAGCAUAUCAAUAAGCGGAGGA
rnacentral:rRNA from 1 species